AGUCACUGACAUUAGAUACCCCGGUAGUCCCAGCCGUAAACAAUGUGCGUUAGGUGUGUCGGUAACCACGCGUUACUGAUGCGCCGAAGAGAAAUCGUGAAACGCACCACCUGGGAAGUACGGUCGCAAGGCUGAAACUUAAAGGAAUUGGCGGGGGAGCACCACAACAGGUGGAGCCUGCGGUUUAAUUGGACUCAACGCCGGGAAGCUCACCGGAUAGGACAGCAGAAUGAUUGCCGGGCUGAAGACCCUGCAUGACUAGCUG
rnacentral:rRNA from 1 species